AUGGGCGCAAGCCUGAUGCAGCCAUGCCGCGUGUGUGAAGAAGGCCUUCGGGUUGUAAAGCACUUUCAGUCGUGAGGAAGGUGGUAGUGUUAAUAGCACUAUCAUUUGACGUUAGCGACAGAAGAAGCACCGGCUAACUCCGUGCCAGCAGCCGCGGUAAUACGGAGGGUGCGAGCGUUAAUCGGAAUUACUGGGCGUAAAGCGCAUGCAGGUGGUUUGUUAAGUCAGAUGUGAAAGCCCGGGGCUCAACCUCGGAAUAGCAUUUGAAACUGGCAGACUAGAGUACUGUAGAGGGGGGUAGAAUUUCAGGUGUAGCGGUGAAAUGCGUAGAGAUCUGAAGGAAUACCGGUGGCGAAGGCGGCCCCCUGGACAGAUACUGACACUCAGAUGCGAAAGCGUGGGGAGCAAACAGGAUUAGAUACCCUGGUAGUCCACGCCGUAAACGAUGUCUACUUGGAGGUUGUGGCCUUGAGCCGUGGCUUUCGGAGCUAACGCGUUAAGUAGACCGCCUGGG
rnacentral:rRNA from 3 species